AUUGAACGCUGGCGGCAUGCCUUACACAUGCAAGUCGAACGGUAACAGGUCUUCGGAUGCUGACGAGUGGCGAACGGGUGAGUAAUACAUCGGAACGUGCCUAGUAGUGGGGGAUAACUACUCGAAAGCUUUGCUAAUACCGCAUACGAUCUCAGGAUGAAAGCAGGGGACCGCAAGGCCUUGCGCUCACGGAGCGGCCGAUGGCAGAUUAGGUAGUUGGUGGGAUAAAAGCUUACCAAGCCGACGAUCUGUAGCUGGUCUGAGAGGACGACCAGCCACACUGGGACUGAGACACGGCCCAGACUCCUACGGGAGGCAGCAGUGGGGAAUUUUGGACAAUGGGCGCAAGCCUGAUCCAGCCAUGCCGCGUGCAGGAUGAAGGCCUUCGGGUUGUAAACUGCUUUUGUACGGAACGAAAAGACUCUGGUUAAUACCUGGGGUCCAUGACGGUACCGUAAGAAUAAGCACCGGCUAACUACGUGCCAGCCGCCGCCGUAAAAC
rnacentral:rRNA from 1 species